CCAGAUGGUGAAGCUUUUUACUGCACACCUGGCAUGGAUUCUCAGACCUGCAUCUCUGACAGAUAAGUGCUGGGCUCCAACCCACAGAGGGGAUGGGAGUGGAUGCUGUGUCUGGAAUUGUCAGGAGGGAUUUUUGAGGCAGCUUUGGAGCUGGGGAUGGCCAAGAAGCAGUCCCUCAGGCCCCAUAAGGGGAAGAGUUUCAAUUUGAUCUCAAUGCUGAUUUGCACAGGGCAGAGCAGUUCCUCUGGGUGUCACGUCACUUGUCUCGUGUGCAAUCUGUGUCUGUGUGUGUUGUAUUGUAUGUCUCUUACCUUAGCCCUUUGAGGGGCCUGUCAGAAACCCUGGGCUCAUCCAUAGCAUCUUGUGAUCUCUGCAUUCCUCAGCCUGGCUGUGGUGCCAUCAAACCUUGGUCUCAGGAGCUUGAAUAGGCAUCUGACUCUUUUCUUUUGGAAAGCAUCCAGUCUGAUCUCUUAAGGUCUUUUUCUGAGCUGUGCACCUGAAGGAUCCCUUAUAUCAAAUUGGAACUUGUAAGAAUGGAAGAUAAGAAGAGGAUUCCCAGGCAUCCAUCUCUGCAGCAUCUUCUUGAAGGAAAUCAUUCUGCUGGCAUCUUUUUCCCACCUUGUCAGCUUGCUCUCAGUCUUUCCCUCAGUCCUUGUGUCCUUCCUCUUGCUGAGAUAUUUUUUUCCCUCUCUUGUCAUCCCUUCGUUUGUCACGUCUUGUGUCACGGGUGCCUGCAUGCAUUUGGGUCGGAGCUGCUCUGCCCUGCUGUGUAGUCUGGGCAUAGGUGUGCUAGGACCAGUCCUGGGGACUUGCUUUUUGUAAUGUGGGGUGGUGUUGGACUGGACCCUAGAUGAAAUCUGGAGGUAUAAAGUUAUCCUGCAGCACAUUUGACUUCUGUCCUAUCUUCCUUUCAGAUGCAGAUGGAUCAAAUCUGAGGCUGUGGGCCCAUCCUAGGAAAUGAAGCAGGAUAUCCACUGUCAAGGGGAAGCAGGCCAGGCAGUGCCCUUGAACUACCCUGAGAUGGCUCUGCCCAGCUGACCCAGAGACCCAGUUCACUGCUCCUGUGAGCCCUCCAGCAGUAUUACAGGACUCUGAUGAAGCCUUCACCUUCUCCUAUUUGAAGAUGCCAGCCAGGUAGGCUUUGGCAAGAGCCAAGCAGUUGAGGUCUACCCUGCCAGGACAGUCUCAACCUCUGAGUGCAGCUGAAGCGUGUGAGGUGAGCCCCUGGGCAUUCCUGGGAUAUGCUGACUAAGGGACAACAGCCCAGUGAUGGCAGGAAUUUCCCAGAUGGUGAAGCUUUUUUACUGCACACCUGACAUGGAUUCUCAUACCUGGAUCUCUGACAGAUAAGUGCUGGGCUCCAACCCACAGAGGGGACGGGAGCGGGAUGCUGUGUCUGGAAUUGUCAGGAGGGAUUUUUGAGGCAGCUUUGGAGCUGGGGAUGGCCAAGAAGCAGCACCUCAGGCCCCAUAAGGGGAAGAGUCUCAAUUUGAUCUCAAUGCUGAUUUGCACAGGGCAGAGCAGUUCCUCUGGGUGUCAUGUCACUUGUGUCUUGUGCUGUGUGUGUCUUCUGUGUGUGUUGUAUUGCCUGUCUCUUGCCUUAGCCCUUUGAGGGGCCUAUCAGAAACCCUGAGGUCAUCCAUAGCAUCUUGUGCUCUCUGCAUUCAUCAGCCUGGCUCUGGUGCCAUCAAACCUUGGUCUCAGGAGCUUGGACAGGCAUCUGAAUCUCUUCUCUUUUGGAAAGCAUCCAGUAUCAUCUCUUAAGGUCUUGCUCUGAGCUGUAUUGCCAGCUGUGCACCUGAAGGAUCCAUUACAAGAGAUGAGGAAUUAGAGGAAUGGGAAGGUACGAAGAGGAUUCUCAGGCAUCCAUCUCUGCAGUUCUUGAAGCAAAUCAUUCUGCUAGCAUCUUUUUCCAGCCUUGUCAGCUUGCUGUCAGUCUUCCCUCAGUGAUCUCAUUUUGCAUUCUCUCAGUCCUCGUGGUUCUUCUUGCCGAGUUUUUUCGUCCCCCUGUCCUCCCCUCGUUUGUCAUGUCCUGUGUCACGGGUGCCUGCACGCAUUUGGUCUGGAGCUGCUCUGCCCUGAUGCAUAGUCAAGAUAGGACAAGGUGCAGGGUCUUGCGUUUUGUACUGUGGGGUGGUGUUGGACUCUAGAUCAGAUCUGCAGAUUCACUCAAGAUGUCUGGGGCUGCCCAGCUAUUAUGCUGGGCUUUAAAUUUUGUUCUAAGUUCUUUUUACCUGCAGUUUUCUGGGGUUUUGGGUAGAAAAUGUGUGGGGAUGUCUCUUAGCUCUCAGGUAACCACUCACUGACCUCCCGCUUCUGUC